UACGUAGGGCGCAAGCGUUUGUCCGGAAUUAUUGGGCGUAAAGAGCUCGUAGGCGGCUUGUCACGUCGGUUGUGAAAGCCCGGGGCUUUAACCCCGGGUCUGCAGUCGAUACGGGCUAGCUAGAGUGUGGUAGGGGAGAUCGGAAUUCCUGGUGUAGCGGUGAAAUGCGCAGACAUCAGGAGGAACACCGGUGGCGAAGGCGGAUCUCUGGGCCAUUACUGACGCUGAGGAGCGAAAGCGUGGGGAGCGAACAGG
rnacentral:rRNA from 1 species